GAGUUUGAUCUUGGCUCAGAUUGAACGCUGGCGGCAGGCCUAACACAUGCAAGUCGAGCGGUAGAGAGAAGCUUGCUUCUCUUGAGAGCGGCGGACGGGUGAGUAAUGCCUAGGAAUCUGCCUGGUAGUGGGGGAUAACGCUCGGAAACGGACGCUAAUACCGCAUACGUCCUACGGGAGAAAGCAGGGGACCUUCGGGCCUUGCGCUAUCAGAUGAGCCUAGGUCGGAUUAGCUAGUUGGUGAGGUAAUGGCUCACCAAGGCGACGAUCCGUAACUGGUCUGAGAGGAUGAUCAGUCACACUGGAACUGAGACACGGUCCAGACUCCUACGGGAGGCAGCAGUGGGGAAUAUUGGACAAUGGGCGAAAGCCUGAUCCAGCCAUGCCGCGUGUGUGAAGAAGGUCUUCGGAUUGUAAAGCACUUUAAGUUGGAGGAAGGGCAGUAAAUUAAUACUUUGCUGUUUUGACGUUACCGACAGAAUAAGCACCGGCUAACUCUGUGCCAGCAC
rnacentral:rRNA from 1 species